UAAUCUCUUAUAUCUGCAUCUGUAGCUCGUAUGUGCAAUGGGCAAACAUACUUGUGGAUUCAAAGAACUGUUUUCUCUUAUACACCCUUUACUUCUCGGUACAUGGAGCUCUCUUACACAUUCGUGUUUUGUUCCAAGAAAACAGUCUGGUUCUGGAAAACACCCCAGAAAGGCAUCCUAGAAGUUCUCCAGCUUGUGAGAAAGUCAUCCUCCAGCAGUUUGGCUACUGCGUUUUCUGAUCUCCUUAUACCGUUGUGGCAAUAAUGAUGCUCCUGUCCCUGCAUCCACCAUGAUUAAAAUACAGAAUGCCUGCCAAAGGGGCAUUUUUGUCUAACAGGGUUGCUGCUAUGGGGGUCACAUCUUACAAGCGAUGGCCAGAGGUGUUGAUUGAAGAGACACAGCACGAGGUCCAUGCCAGGAGGUUAUCAUCUGCUGCUGACACUGCCCCUGCAAGGCUUGUGCUCAAACCUUCCCCAUCACCCACCAGACCUCUGCACUUCCCAGAAUUACUGAUGACUUCCCAUAUUUGCAAUUGAUUUGCCAACAAUUUGCUCUUGCUCCAAACAAGCACAAACGAAAGGAGGAACCAAAGUUCAGCCUGGAUAGGCCAUAAACCUGCUUCCACCAAAGGCAAACCUGUCCCACAGGAAUACCAUUGUCCAGAGGAGGAUGACUGAUGAAAACUGAAAUCUCCCUGGAGAACCCCUCCAAGUUUCUUUUUUAUGCCCUUAUCUUGGAAUUAAAGGUGCUGUCUCACCCUGCGCUUGGUCUCCCAUAGAUGAGCCUUUCUUCCAGACCCACGUUAAGCUGCUCUUGGAGAAUCCAUCCCAGUGUUUCCUAUAUGCCCCUCCUUUCUCAGGCUGUAACACAGAAAAGGUGUGUGUGUGUGUGGAGGUUUCCCAUCAAAAUAUCCUCUGUCAAAUGCACUUCACAUGUAACGCUGCUGACACAAAUCAGGG